GUGGUUUGUCGCGUUGUUCGUGAAAUCUCACGGCUUAACUGUGAGCGUGCGGGCGAUACGGGCAGGCUUGAGUACUGCAGGGGAGACUGGAAUUCCUGGUGUAGCGGUGGAAUGCGCAGAUAUCAGGAGGAACACCGGUGGCGAAGGCGGGUCUCUGGGCAGUAACUGACGCUGAGGAGCGAAAGCGUGGGGAGCGAACAGGAUUAGAUACCCUGGUAGUCCACGCCGUAAACGGUGGGUACUAGGUGUGGGUUUCCUUCCUUGGGAUCCGUGCCGUAGCUAACGCAUUAAGUACCCCGCCUGGGGAGUACGGCCGCAAGGCUAAAACUCAAAGAAAUUGACGGGGGCCCGCACAAGCGGCGGAGCAUGUGGAUUAAUUCGAUGCAACGCGAAGAACCUUACCUGGGUUUGACAUGCACAGGACGCCGGCAGAGAUGUCGGUUCCCUUGUGGCCUGUGUGCAGGUGGUGCAUGGCUGUCGUCAGCUCGUGUCGUGAGAUGUUGGGUUAAGUCCCGCAACGAGCGCAACCCUUGUCUCAUGUUGCCAGCGGGUAAUGCCGGGGACUCGUGAGAGACUGCCGGGGUCAACUCGGAGGAAGGUGGGGAUGACGUCAAGUCAUCAUGCCCCUUAUGUCCAGGGCUUCACACAUGCUACAAUGGCCGGUACAAAGGGCUGCGAUGCCGCGAGGUUAAGCGAAUCCUUUUAAAGCCGGUCUCAGUUCGGAUCGGGGUCUGCAACUCGACCCCGUGAAGUCGAAGUCGCUAGUAAUC
rnacentral:rRNA from 1 species